rnacentral:lncRNA from 1 species
UCCUAGUGCGUGACACACGGAAGUACUUAGGAACGUUGUCAGAUGAUGGAUGAAGACCAGGGAGGGGCUGUGAGAGCCUCUGCUGGGAAGUGGUAAAGCAGGGAGCCAAGGGACUCUGCAGUGAGGAACACUCAGAGAGGCCUCUGCCCUUCAUGAAGUCACGCAGGAGGAAAGGAAAACAGCUCUCCUUUUCAUUCCUUAAACAGAAAUACUUGUCCCCUUCGCUUAAACAGGUGGAAGAACACUGCUUGUCCUGCCCUGAGCAUGGAGAUUCCACGUCUGGGUGUGGGGUGGCCUCUGGCAGGCUGGACAGUUUGUUCUGUGCUUGAAAGUCUCAGCUUUCGUCUUCAUCAACCUAAAUCGGGCUGGUUCUCCUGCACAUCCCCCCCUCUGCAAACUUGGAAGGAGGGGCAUGCAGGCCAUGGGAGCCCCUGACCACCGGGAGCCUCAAAAGUCAGGGAACACACCCACCGCCGGCUGUCCUUGUGCUUCGGGACACUGGGAAGCUGGCAUACUGGUGGCUGGGGACAAGAGGAGCCUGUGGGAGAAGAGACAGCCAGGGGCUGCAGCACAGCCCUGCUGCAUCUGAGGAAGUCUCCCUGCCUCGGCCCUGCUCGAGGUGAGUUUGACUUUGUUGAUGGAGGAUGGUGGGGCUUUUUCCAAUUUUGUGGCAUCUGAGGAAGCUUUACAUCUUAAACAUCAGUUUAGAGUGGAUGGACCAAAGCUAAUUUUCUCCAAGGUGGGCUCCCAUGUGAAGAAACCCUAAAAACCCCAUUUACGGUGUAGGGCUUCCCGGACUAACCAGAAUGUCAGGGGUCUUUGCUUUUGACCGGAGUCCUAUCAGCUUAGGCCCUAUCAGUUUAGGGUUCUGGUGGUGUGAGUUCACUGUUGUAAGUUUCUCUGUCUGUGGAGUAUGAAGUAAACUCGUGAUAACUUAAUGACUUCAUUUUAUUCAGUUGACCCACUCUAAAACCCAGCACCCAGUGAGAAGGGGAGAACCAGGGUGCUAGGAUGGGGGUAUUUCCCUGGUGGGAUUGGCAGCUGAGGGUUCCACUCAGUCCCAGGGAGGGGCCGGGGGGCCUUCCCAUUGAUGUGCCUAUGCCAAGCUGGGUCAGCAAACUGAAACCCCUGGGAUCUGGGGAACAGGCACCACCCUGAGGCUCUGGGUCCCACCUCCACGCAGGAGCCCCUUUGGCCUGUUGCUGUCAGGCUUCCAAGAGAGAAUUUGAGGGGUAAGCCCCACGGCUUGCAGUCUUGUUUGGGAAGAGGCUGCACACCCACAUACAGAUUAGCACACAUCAUCAUGGGCCAAAGUGUAUACUACACACACAUACACACAGAUACAUAAGCACAGGGAUGCACGCAUCCCAAAAGGCAAAUUAUGUAAUAGUGAAGAGUACAUAUUCUAAAGCCAGAAUGCCCACCGUACUGCUUAGUAACUGUGUGACCUUGGGUAAGUUACUUAACUUCUCUGGGCCUUACUUUCCUAAUCAGUAAGAGGGGGAUGGUAAUGGGUUAUAAGUAAUGGGGCUAUAAGUGAAUUUGUAUCUGUGAGGAGUUUAGAAAUGUGCCUGUACAUAGCUAGGUGUUCUAACUAUUGUUCACCACAUAUUCUGUGCCCCAGAUAUUCAGGCCCAAGGGCACAAUACUUCCCAGAGAGGUGCUCACAAACUUGUCAGCGAAUAGGAUCAAUCACUUUGCACUUUCUGAGUCCUGAUUCUCAGGAUGUGUGGC